AUGCUCACUUUAACAGCACAUACACUAAAACAGGACUGAUUCAGGGAUUAGCAUGGCCCUGCACAAGGAUCACACUCAAAUUCGUGAAGCAUUCCAUGCUGGU